rnacentral:rRNA from 1 species
GACGUAGGGCGCGAGCGUUGUCCGGGUUUAUUGGGCGUAAAGAGCUCGUAGGCGGCUCGUUGCGUCGGCUGUGAAAACCCGCAGCUCAACUGUGGGCUUGCAGCUGAUACGGGCGGGCUGGGAUUCGGUAGGGGAGACUGGAAUUCCUGGUGUAGCGGUGAAAUGCGCAGAUAUCAGGAGGAACACCGGUGGCGAAGGCGGGUCUCUGGGCCGAUAUCGACGCUGAGGAGCGAAAGCGUGGGGAGCGAACAGG